UGAUGUCGGACUUAAUCGUCACCGUCGGACACAAUCGUGUGUAACAUACGUGCACAGACUAAACAGCUCCUUCCACAACAUCAGCAGGCCGCGCCGUGGAAUGGAUGUCCAUAUGGAAACCCAGAAGUCCUUAAAAGACUAUUUAUCUGAAUGGGGAGUAGCUGAAUUACUUCAGCACUUUCAAGGUGAGUAAUCGUUCACAGUUUACAAAGGUUAAUGUUCUCGUAAGAUAAACAAAGAUGUGCUUUAGAAAGUUGCACAUAAGUUCAAACAGUUUACAUGUAGUUGAACUGUCAAAUCCAUGUUCACUGCACUACUGACUGUAUACACUCGGUACUGACACACAGUGGCAAACACGUUUGAACUAUUGUCUGUGUGUAUUGUUAAGUAGGUCUAUCAUAAUAAGGCCAUACACACAUCUUAUUGAUUGGAGGUGUUGAUGUUUGACAUUGAUUAGCCUUAGAAAUUGAAUAUUAUUGGAAAAAUAUAUUGUACUAUUUUAACAAUAGGAACGGAAAUUGGCCUACACUCCAACCAAGCUUUAAUUUUGUCUCUGGGGGGUAGUACUUGGUUGUUAAAUCGUUUAUUAUUUGGCUUAAAUAAUGGAAUAAUGAUGGUUUUAGACCAAGUAGUGUGUGGGAAACUUGUGAUGGUGGGAUGGGGUUUUUGUACUUUUUGUGUACCCACGUCUUGUAUUCGGCUUAGUUUAUAAUUAAACCAUGUUUGGCAGACUGGAAUUCGGAAUUAAACAAAGCAAGUGGGUCUAGCUCUUUAAAAGGUUCAUGUUCUUUCCAUUAACAUAGUUUAAGUCUACCACAGAGAUUUACAACCAAAGUUUGGGCAAAAGUAACUUAACAGUUGAGCUAAACAAUCUAUGUUGUAUACAAAGUUGGUUGAAAUUUAUGUUUUACUGGGAACUUAACACUAAAAGUUGGGCAAUUCUUAUUUAACCAAUGGCUGGUUCACCGGUGUUAUUCACCUGUUGGUUAUCAAUUACCCAAAUGCAAUUGCCAUAACCUUUGGCAAAUGGUGCAUUAACCAGAGUUUAGUUAAAAGUCAAAUAAACCGUUUGACCAUGGCAAUGUAUUAAGUUGUAAUGAUUUUUCUAAUGAUUUUUUUCAUAAACAUAAGAGAAAGUCUGCUAACAAAGAUCCUUUACAUAUUUAGGAACUAAAUUACUUUGAGGCCAACAUACACAGUACUUAAUUUAUUUGAGACUUUAUCCAUCAAUGACAAAGUUGUGAGAGCACAACAUUUCCCUUUUUUUAAUUUAUGUUAUUGAUUUAUACAACUUUGUAAAUAAGCCCAUAGUAGGUGCUAAUGGUGGGAGAACUGUUUUGAAUAGUUUUUUUAGCAAUGAAACAUACAAAAAGUGUAUUAUUUAAUUGUGUUUUCCUGCAUUAAUUAUUUAUUUAUUUGUGUGUUUAGAUCAGCACGUAGAUGUACAGACACUCUCUCUGCUGGAUGAGAAAUCUAUAGAGGAACUGAUUGCCAAAGUUGGGGUGAGAGUUAGGCUCUUACAUGGUUGGAGAGAAGAAAAGAGAAGAAGGCUUUGGCAUUCUACACAUUGCCACUACUUCUUGGUGCAAAGUCAAAGGGUGGACAAGUGGGUGGAUAUUUUGGUAUGACCAUGGAGGCAUUCAUUGACCUGCAACCGGCAAUCACCAACAUUGAAGGCUACUUGAAGGGUAUUGACGGAUUGGAGAGACCGCAGCCAUUUGUUCUUGCUCUAGUUGGUAAGAACAAACUGUUACCAUCGCAGGUGUUCACAGUAAUGGAACGCCGAGCAAUUGAGGCGCCGAGUCUACUCAAAGGAAUUGACAUGGCCUUUAAGGCACAUUAUGUAUUUAAUGUGUCUUACCAACAAAAGGUAAAAGCUGUUUGGGAGUUUCUUCAGUGUGUGAUUUAUGAACUUCCAGGAAAAGUCAGGCCUGCAGUGCGAGACAUGCGUGCCUACCUAAUGGAAGCAGCAAGAAAAGGCAUUAGAUAGAUAGAUUGUUGGACAGACUAUAUUGGUCAGGCCAGUGUCAUUUUCUACACCAGACCUCUUGACACCGUUUUUAAUAAAGUUAAAAUUCUUCUUGUUCUCAUGUUACAAAGUUUUACAUUAUUUUGUAAAAGGUGGUGUGUUCCCCCCCCCCCCCAUUUCCGAAAACGGGUUUUCUAAAAGAAAGAAAAAAAUAAUUAAAUUCACACACAAAAAUUAAUCCAUACAAAUCUUCAGCAAACUUGGUGUUCAUUUGUUUUCAAUCAGCUAAUUACUAUUUCUUCUUUAUCAGUCAUCUUGUGGACUUUUAUAUUGUGCGAAUUUCAAUUGUUGCAAUUGAAACUGUUGCAUUUUCAAAUACAGUUCACUCAAAGAUUGCAAUGUUUUAGAUGCAAACAUUUCUCAUCCGUAUUGGUACAACACCUUUGUAAAAAUUCAGAUUUAAACUAAAAUUACCAAAGCCAUAAUAUUAUACCUUUAAUUCAUUACUUUGUUAUAUAAAGAGUUCUCCAAAGCUGUGAGCAGUUCAACUUAAUAAAUUGUCGGCACAUUUGUUUGUGUGUCUGUACAAUAACAUUGUACUUUCACUGAGCUUUUAAACAACUAAGCACUUGAGAAAAUCACAGGAUAUUUUGUUAGUCCACUUUGAAUUUUGGAACAGUGCAGCCAUAUUUUGCCUGCCCUGAGCAUAUUCACCCUCUUGGAAAAGAUAGCACAAAAUUUCAAAUCAUGGAGAGGGCUACAAGGUUAUUUGCCAUUUGAGCCUCAGUUUGGUUACAUUACUUUGAAAAGAAGAACAACAAGAUGGCUGCACCAUGAUAAAACUUUAUAGUUAUAUUAAUUAGCUGCAACCAUUAUUUUUUACAUGUACACUCAUUGAUCACAAUCCAUACCAUUGUUAUAUUUACAUAGAAGCGUUUUGUAUAAAGCAGCACUUAGUUGUUUUUAAAGAACUACCUCAAGCUCCAUGUAAAUUCAUCAAUUUACAUUUUUUACUAUAACUAAAAUUCACAUAUAAAAAAAUUAAUCAUUUUCAGGAAUAUUUCUAUAAAUGCCACAACUGCCUCGUUAAGCAAAUACAGGGUUGGUGCAGUUGGUAAUCUAAACAUGAAAUAAUCCGAGGUAUUUUUGUCUUUCCUCUUUUUGCAAACCCAAUGUGGUCUGUGUAGUUAAGUAAAACAAGUUUUAUCACGUUUAAGUGUUUUAAAAGUUAGUGUUUUAAUCGUGAUAUGCAAUAUAUAUAUAUAUAUAAACCUAUAUUUUAUUUUUGUGUACUAUUCAUGCUGAUUAUGUCUGCUAAACUAAAGAAUCACCUUGAUGUUGAUGUGAUAUGUUUGCCAGGAUUAAACAAAAUAUACAAAUAUCAAUAAUUUAUAAAAAUGUGUUUAUCUUUCUCUUUGUAAUCAAUAUUUAGGAAACACAGUGCCCAUGAGUUAGCUACAUCAGUUUACAAACAAGUAGUUAACGCCCCCUCCCCCCCCCCCCCC